AGUGAACGCUGGCGGCGUGCUUAACACAUGCAAGUCGAACGAGAACGGAUUAUAGCUUGCUAUAAUUGUCAGCUAAGUGGCGCACGGGUGAGUAAUGUAUAGGUAAUAUGCCUCUUACUAAGGGAUAACAAAUGGAAACGUUUGCUAAUACCUUAUACUCCUUAUUAACAUAAGUUAAUAAGGGAAAGAUUUAUUGGUAAGAGAUUAGCCUGUAUUGUAUCAGUUAGUUGGUGGGGUAAUGGCUUACCAAGACUAUGACACAUAACUGGUUUGAGAGGAUGAUCAGUCACACUGGAACUGAGACACGGUCCAGACUCCUACGGGAGGCAGCAGUGGGGAAUAUUGCACAAUGGACGAAAGUCUGAUGCAGCAACGCCGCGUGGAGGAUGACACAUUUCGGUGCGUAAACUCCUUUUAUAUGAGAAGAUAAUGACGGCAUUAUAUGAAUAAGCACCGGCUAACUCCGUGCCAGCAGCCGCGGUAA
rnacentral:rRNA from 1 species